UAAAAUCUGUUCUUAUCAGUUUAAUAUCUGAUGCAUCCUCUAGCCAAGGACAGUAUUUUAAAUGGAUUUUUGGAACUAGGAGGUGGAAUAGGAGCUUGCUCCCUCCACUCCACACAUCGACCUGGUAUUGUAGUGCUUCCAGGACACUGC
rnacentral:snRNA from 1 species